UUGAUUACAGCCCUGCGCUUUGUACACAACACCCGAACUCUGCCCGGGACUGUAAACAUUUCAAGAAAACCAGGGAUUGAUGGCCUGGCGACUCUUCAGGGUCCGCUGGGCGUUAAAAACCGGCUUAAUUGCAAUGGUUGGAACCGGGCAAAAAUCCUAACAAGGUAGCUGUAGGUGAACCUGCUGCUGGAUCAUUA
rnacentral:rRNA from 1 species